UUCGGUAUCCUGUGUUGCUUACCUAUCGAAAGGAAUCCGACGGUCUCGUUUGUCCCUCUCCGCCCCCAGCCCUCGCGGGUUGCGGGGUGGACAUCAGGCACGCCCCGUGUUCCUGGCAGGCCUCGCCCAGUCGCUCGGCUGCCUCGGCCCACGGUGUGCUAUGCCCGUUCUCUCGGAUGCGGAACGUUACGCACGGGCGUGGUGUCUGUCACAACAGGCUCCGUUCGCCCGAGCAACGCAUUUUGUCCCUCGACGCGAACGACUGCCGUGCCCGUCUCGAGCCCGCGGCCUCUCAAGGCCCGUCGGGCGUCGURCGGGCGUCGGCGUCGCGAAGGAACGCUACCUGGUUGAUCCUGCCAGUAGUCAUAUGCUUGUCUC
rnacentral:misc_RNA from 1 species